AUUGAACGCUGGCGGCAGGCCUAACACAUGCAAGUCGAGCGGAUGAAGGGAGCUUGCUCCUGGAUUCAGCGGCGGACGGGUGAGUAAUGCCUAGGAAUCUGCCUGGUAGUGGGGGAUAACGUCCGGAAACGGGCGCUAAUACCGCAUACGUCCUGAGGGAGAAAGAGGGGGAUCUUCGGACCUCACGCUAUCAGAUGAGCCUAGGUCGGAUUAGCUAGUUGGUGGGGUAAAGGCCUACCAAGGCGACGAUCCGUAACUGGUCUGAGAGGAUGAUCAGUCACACUGGAACUGAGACACGGUCCAGACUCCUACGGGAGGCAGCAGUGGGGAAUAUUGGACAAUGGGCGAAAUCCUGAUCCAGCCAUGCCGCGUGUGUGAAGAAGGUCUUCGGAUUGUAAAGCACUUUAAGUUGGGAGGAAGGGCAGUAAGUUAAUACCUUGCUGUUUUGACGUUACCAACAGAAUAAGCACCGGCUAACUUCGUG
rnacentral:rRNA from 1 species